GAUUAACGCUAGCGGCAGGCAUAAUACAUGCAAGUUGAACGUGAUCAAUUGUAGCAAUAUGAUUGUGAAAGUGGCGCACGGGUGCGUAACGCGUAUGCAACCUGCCUCCAACCGGGGGAAUAGCCCCUCGAAAGAGGGAUUAAUACCGCAUAACAUAACCGGACGGCAUCGCCUGGUUAUCAAAAUCAAGGUGGUUGGAGAUGGGGCAUGCGUGACAUUAGCUAGUUGGUGAGGUAACGGCUCACCAAGGCAACGAUGUCUAGGGGGUCUGAGAGGAUGUCCCCCACA
rnacentral:rRNA from 1 species